rnacentral:rRNA from 1 species
CGGCUCAGUAACACGUGGAUAACCUACCCUUGAGACGGGGAUAAACCCGGGAAACUGGGUAUAAUACCCGAUAGAUCUCGACUGCUGGAAUGCAUCGAGCUUGAAAGCUCCGGCGCUCAAGGAUGGGUCUGCGGCCUAUCAGGUAGUAGUGGGUGUAGCGUACCUACUAGCCUACGACGGGUACGGGUUGUGAGAGCAAGAGCCCGGAGAUGGAUUCUGAGACACGAAUCCAGGCCCUACGGGGUGCAGCAGGCGCGAAAACUUUACAAUGCUGGAAACAGCGAUAAGGGGACCUCGAGUGCCAGGUUACAAAUCUGGCUGUCGUGAUGCCUAAAAAGCAUUGCAUAGCAAGGGCCGGGCAAGACCGGUGCCAGCCGCCGCGGUAACACCGGCGGCUCGAGUGGUAACCGUUAUUAUUGGGUCUAAAGGGUCUGUAGCCGGCCGGAUAAGUCUCUUGGGAAAUCUGGCAGCUUAACUGUCAGGCUUUCAGGAGAUACUGUCUGGCUCGAGGCCGGGAGAGGUGAGAGGUACUUCAGGGGUAGGGGUGAAAUCUUGUAAUCCUUGAAGGACCACCAGUGGCGAAGGCGUCUCACCAGAACGGACCUGACGGCAAGGGACGAAAGCUAGGGGCACG